GAUGAACGCUAGCGGCAGGCCUAAUACAUGCAAGACGAGGGGUUAGCAAUAACACCGUCGCACGGGUGCGUAACGCGUAUGCAACCUACCUAUCACAGGGGGAUAGCCUUUGGAAACAGGGAUUAAUACCGCAUAAUACUAUUUAGUGGCAUUAUUAGAUAGUUAAAGAUUUAAUCGGUGAUAUAUGGGCAUGCGUCUGAUUAGUUAGAUGGUGAGGUAACGGCUCACCAUGACGAUGAUCAGUAGGGGCGUCAGAGCGUGGUCCCCCACACUGGCACUGAGAUACGGGCCAGACUCCUACGGGAGCAGCAGUAGGGAAUAUUGGGCAAUGGAUGCAAGUCUGACCCAGCCAUGCCGCGUGCAGGAAGAA
rnacentral:rRNA from 1 species